AAGGCUUUCGGGUUGUAAACCCCUUUCAGUUGGGACGAAGCUUCAGCGGUUAAUAGCCGUUCGAAGUGACGGUACCUUCACAAGAAGCACCGGCUAACUACGUGC
rnacentral:rRNA from 1 species